rnacentral:lncRNA from 1 species
CAGAAAGCCAAUUAGGAGACAACGAGAAUUCUCGGGGAACAAAGGCUUUAUUUAAUUGGGUGCCGCGCAGCUGAGGAGAUGCAAGAUCAGUCUCAAAUCCAUUUCCCUGAUCUACUAAAACUGGGAGUUUAUGUAGUGGGGGAGGAAUAAAACUAUAUGUGGGUAAACAGGAAUUAGAGAGGGCUAAGGAAGAGGAGUUGGUCAACAGGAAGCAGGUGGUUGGAUAGGCAAUCACGAUGAGUGGGGGGUAUGGUGUCUCAUUGUCCGGAUGCUGUGAUCUGUUUCCCUUGGAAUCCAGUCACCAUGCUGUGAGGAAAUCAAAGCCAAAGGGAAGUUUCACAUGAAGAGCAAUCAAGUCGUUUAGCCCUCAGCCUGAUGACCACCCUACUGACUGCUGCCCGUGUGAGUGAGCCAUCAUAAAAGCAAAUCCAUCAGUUUUCAACUGAGCCUCAGUUGAGGAUGCCUGGGAUAGAAACAAGUCUCUCCCAUAUAGAUCUUUCAAAACUGCAUGUUGGCAAGCCAAAUAAUUAUUGUUGUUUUAUGCUGCUAAGUUUUACAGAUGAUAUGUUUUCUAUUUAGCACUAUAUAAUAAAAGCAGAAAGUGACUUCAUAAUAAUAAAAUAGCAAAUUCAAUAGGAAUAUGCAAUAAAUUGAAUAUUUGAUAAUAAUAUAUCUUCAAAAUAUAUGGAAAAAAU